rnacentral:rRNA from 1 species
GAUGAACGCUGGCGGCGUGCCUAACACAUGCAAGUCGAGCGGCAGCGAGGGGUGCUUGCACCCUGUCGGCGAGCGGCGGACGGCUGAGUAACGCGUGGGAACGUGCCCCAAAGUGAGGAAUAACUGCCCGAAAGGGUAGCUAAUACCGCAUAUUAUCUUCGGAUCAAAGGAUUUAUCCGCUUUGGGAGCGGCUCGCGUCGGAUUAGGUAGUUGGUGAGGUAAUGGCUCACCAAGCCGACGAUCCGUAGCUGGUCUGAGAGGAUGACCAGCCAGACUGGAACUGAGACACGGUCCAGACUCCUACGGGAGGCAGCAGUGAGGAAUCUUCCACGAUGGGCGAAAGCCUGAUGGAGCAACGCCGCGUGCAGGACGAAGGCCUUCGGGUUGUAAACUGCUUUUAUAAGUGAGGAAUAUGACGGUAACUUAUGAAUAAGGAUCGGCUAACUACGUG